CCCGGGCCUUGUACACACCGCCCGUCACACCACGAAAGUCGGCAACACCCGAAGCCAGUGGCCCAACCCGCAAGGGGUGGAGCUGUCGAAGGUGGGGUCGGUGAUUGGGGUG
rnacentral:rRNA from 1 species